CACAUACAGGCAGUCACACACACAGACAGACAGUCACACACACAGACAGUCACACAGACAGACAGUCUCACACACACAGGCAGUCACACAGACAGUCACACACACAGGCAGUCACAUACAUGGGCAGUCACACAGACAGACAGUCACACACACACACACAGACAGUCACACGCACACAGGCAGGCAGUCACACAGACAGUCACACACACACACAGACAGACAGUCACACAAACAGGCAAACAGUCACACACACACACUUACCUCUUUCCAGUGGAUGCAGUUGGCUGAUGGGGAAGCAUCUUUCCCUCUUCCUGUACAGCAGGG